AAUAGAUACCCAGGUAGUCCACGCCGUAAACGAUGAGUGCUAAGUGUUAGAGGGUUUCCGCCCUUUAGUGCUGCAGCUAACGCAUUAAGCACUCCGCCUGGGGAGUACGGCCGCAAGGCUGAAACUCAAAGGAAUUGACGGGGGCCCGCACAAGCGGUGGAGCAUGUGGUUUAAUUCGAAGCAACGCGGAGAACCUUACCAGGUCUUGACAUCCUCUGCCAACCCUAGAGAUAGGGCGUUCCCCUUCGGGGGACAGAGUGACAGGUGGUGCAUGGUUGUCGUCAGCUCGUGUCGUGAGAUGUUGGGUUAAGCCCCGCAACGAGCGCAACCCUUGAUCUUAGUUGCCAGCAUUCAGUUGGGCACUCUAAGGUGACUGCCGGUGACAAACCGGAGGAAGGUGGGGAUGACGUCAAAUCAUCAUGCCCCUUAUGACCUGGGCUACACACGUGCUACAAUGGAUGGUACAAAGAGCAGCGAACCCGCGAGGGUAAGCCAAUCUCAUAAAGCCAUUCUCAGUUCGGAUUGUAGG
rnacentral:rRNA from 1 species